CAGCCAGCUCGGGGCAGGGCAUAGCCUGAAGGCCAGGAGCUCAGCUGUCACCACGGGGAACAAAGUCGGUGAUGCAGCCACACACUGAGCCUGGGGAAGAAAGUGAGCUGGUUGCUGCCUGAGAAUGAACAGCAUUAAGCCUGGCUUCCCUCCGACCUCCAGCACUUGGACUUCAGGAACAGGCCAGAAUGGUGUGAAGGUGACCCGAUGUCCCGGCUCCUCAGCAUCACCCGCGGGACUCGGGUCGGGGCCCUGCGCGGAGGGAGGAGGCUUUGCCGGUGCUGCUGGAAGCGGAGCCAUCCUCCGCGUCAGUCCAGUGCCACCUACAGCAGCCGGAGCAGAAGCUGCAGCACCCGGCAAACCAAUGGAAGCAAUUCCAGCACGCUCCAGCAAAAGGAGUUUUCACAUCUGUGAGUGCCUUUGAGGAACUUGUUCAUUAGCAUCGUGCAGGCGAGGACAAUGGAACGGAGCCUUUUUCUUGAAGAGUGGCAGCUGCUGUUGUAUCUGCUGGCGGUGAUAUUUCUCAACCUCCAGCAGUUCCUUCCCUCUAUGACCUGUCCUAUUCCCUGCUGUUUUGUGUGUUAGAAGUGCUCAUCUUUCUUUCCAGGGAAGAGAUGGAUCCGUAUGAAGAGAGGAAAAGCCCUCCUUCAGGCUUGUGCCAGUGUUUUCACCCAUUACUUUUUUUCAGUCAGUAACUCCAAAAUGCCAGUGAAACGCAAGGCAGUGCUUAGGUGUUUGAAAUAAAUUCAUUUAAAAUGACA
rnacentral:lncRNA from 1 species